rnacentral:snRNA from 1 species
AUCGCCUCUCAGCCUUUUGGCUAAGAUCAAGCAUAGUAUCUAAUUGAAAGCAAAUACAAAUUUCAGAUUGCUACACACCGUCGGUCUACUCAUGUAUGUAGGUGCACUCAUAUUUGCAUGUGUGUGCUCACACA